rnacentral:rRNA from 1 species
AGCCCGCUCAGAAACUUAAAGGAAGUUGACGGGGCCCGCACAAGCGGUGGAGUAUGUGGUUUAAUUCGAUGCAACGCGAAGAACCUUACCUGGUCUUGACAUCCCGGAGACCCUUAGGAAACUAGGGGGUGCUUCCAUCUGGAAGAAUCUGGAGACAGGUGCUGCAUGGCUGUUGUCAGCUCGUGUCGUGAGAUGUUGGGUUAAGUCCCGCAACGAGCGCAACCCUUGCCUUUAGUUGCCAGCAGUUCGGCUGGGCACUCUAAAGGGACUGCCGGUGUUAAACCGGAGGAAGGUGGGGAUGACGUCAAGUCCUCAUGGCCUUUAUGACCAGGGCUACACACGUACUACAAUGGCCGAUACAAAGGGCAGCGACACUGCGAGGUGAAGCCAAUCCCGUAAAAUCGGUCUCAGUCCGGAUUGGAGUCUGCAACUCGACUCCAUGAAGUUGGAAUCGCUAGUAAUCGUGGAUCAGCAUGCCACGGUGAAUACGUUCCCGGGCCUU